rnacentral:sRNA from 1 species
UAAAUUAUUAGCAGCGCCUUUAUUUCCGCGUUUUGUUGAAUAUAUAACAUUUACUUAUUCGAUUUAACGCGUUUUUUUAUUUAAAUACGAUUUUGUAACGCGCAUAAUAUUUUUUUACUUUAUGUCUUUAGGAUUAAAUUGGUAUCGUACCGAAAUUUGCUCGAUUAUAUAAACCCAACCAAAUAAAUAUAUUCGUUUAAAUAAAUUAAAUAAAAGUAACGUUUACAACAAUUAUAAGCCCGGAAAACGUUUGAUUUAAAGGUUUUAUAAAUCGUUUAUUUUAUUUAUAAAUUAUAUAAUUUACUUACGCAUUAUAUUCUUUCGACAUUUAUUAUUAAAUCCCUUUUCCCACCAUAUAUCCGCAAAAUUAUAUAUUUAUUUAUAAUGUUUUACUUUUCCGAGGAAAAAAUUGAAUUUACCAUUAUUAUAUUCCGCACGGCGAAAAAAUGGCCCGAAUGGUUUUUAUUUAUUAAAACCGCAAUUAAAAAACGUUACAUUUGGGUAUUGGUUAAUUUUUUAACCGAAAACGCACCCAAUUCCAUUUAUAUUAAGGCCACCAAAAACCUUUUUUCCCAAAACCUUUGCAAUAAAAAAAGCAAUGUGGAAAAAACGCCUGAAUUUGGAUAUUAACAGCGAUUUCGACGAGGAAUUAAUAAUAGACCAGAAAUUCGAAAAAUGGUAUAAUAACGUGGCAUUUGUUUUAUUUAUUCCCGACGUGGCCAAAUAUUAUAUCGAUAUUUUUUCCAUAAUUAAUAGGUUAACGGAUGCAAAUUUUAUAAAACGGGCGAACGUUAUAAUAUAGCAAAAAUAGGCGGCGGAUACCCAAUUUUUCCUCCGCAUUUUUCGGUUUUUAAUUAAUCCCCUCGAAAGCACGGAAAUAAAUAAAAUACGCCGUAAAUACCGGAAUUAAUUUAACAAAACCAAAUAAAAAAAAUACAAAUUUUAAAGCCUGGAUAUAAAAUAUGCAAACAAAAUUUAUAUUUGCCAAAAUAGAUAAUAUCCCGGAAAUCCAAGGUAUUAUAAAAAUUACCGAUUUAUUAUUAAUAGUUGCGGUGCGAAUGUCCGUUUCCUGGGGGAUUUACCAAUUUUAUAAAAUAAAUAAAAUAAUAAUUAUGGGAAAACCAUUUAUGGAUAUGGAAAAAUAUUUAAAGGUUUUGGGAAUAUAUAUAUAAUUAUAUAAAAUUUAACCGACCAAAUCCAAAAUUAAUUCCAACUAUUAUAAUAAUGGGAGGAAAUGGAUCGCAAAAAAACCCAAACGAAAACAGUUUAAACCAAGGUAAAUUAUUAUAAAAAUACCAAUAUUUAUACAAAAAUACCGACGGUAAAAAAUAUCAAUGGAAAUCCAAAAAUUGCGACAAAUUUUAUUGGGUUUUAACAAAUAUAAAAAAAUUAAAAAGGUCGAGGGAAUUCGUAUAAAUCCCGACGAAAAAAAUAUAAUUUUACAAAAGUUAUUUAAAUCCAAAAAUUAUAAGCAAUUUCGACAAAGUUUGGUACGCAAAAACCUUUUUACAAAGGAUUUUAACGGGGAUUUCCAAUUUAUAAAAAAAAACUUAGGGAUAUAGGAAAAUUUUGAACAAAUCCCCAACAAAUUUAUAAAUUAUACCGUUAUACCGCAAAAUAUAAUUAAAAUACCGGAAAUGGUAAUCGGUGUAUUCGCAAUUAAGAAAAAUACCCACCCUUUCGCCGAUAAUACAAUUGUUAACAGUAAAAACGCAAUAUACGUUAUUAAUUUAAUAUUAUUAACCGACGAAAGGACGUUUUACCCAAUAAAUAUUAACAAUUCCGUCGCAACCGGUGCAUCCACGCUGCAAAUCCAAAAAUAUGGCCGCAAAACCUUUAAUAACCUAUUAAAUAGCAGAGAUUUAAUUUUGGAAAAGGUCGCAUUAAUUCCAGGAUUUUACGUUAAUAUUAUAUCCGAAAUAUUAAUUAGCAAAUACGGAUUAUAAUUCUAUAAUUAAAACCUUUUUUUUAAAAUACGGGCUAAUUUACGCGAAUACGUUAAUUUUACGGCUGGAAAAAUAAAGAAAUUUACCAUUUUUCAAAUAUAAAUUAAUACCGCAAAAUUUUCCUACCCUUCCAAUUUUAAUCCCAUUUUUUAAAACGGAAAUUAUCGUUAUAACGGUUAUAUAUAAUAUAAUAAAACGGUAAAAAA